UUUUGAUUAAAUGGAGAACUAUUAGGAGCCCUGGGAAAUGGACUUCUCCUGCCAGUUCUAAAAGUUAAAAGGCAGUUUGAUAUAAAAAUUUAUAAAUUAAGGUUAAUUACUUUAAAUAACAUGGCUGGAAGCAAUAAAAAGAAAUUUAUAAUAUUCUCUGGAGUUUUAGGAAAAUAAUAUAGAUAUCCACACCUCUCAAUGGAAAAUCGAAUUAGCGUCCCCAAGUACAGGUCGACCAAGACAAAGGCAAAAUAAACGGGCAGACAAAGGGGCUGUGUGGGAACCGAGCCGCCCAGCUCUGCUCUGCCACACAGCUCCGUGCCCACUGCCACUGCAACGGUGCAGAGGAGCAGCACUGCUUCACUUCUGCCUUUGAAACCACAGCAAGCACGAUGCAAACCAAACCAUGGGUACCGAAGAUGUCCAAAGAGGCAGGCUGACUCUCCUGCCCUCGAAGACAGGUUUGGCUCCACGAGCAGCCUCUGGAGAGAUAGUCCCUCCUGACUCCUCACCAUGGCAACCGGUGUCUCAUUUCAGAAGUGUCAUGCCACAUUAUCAUCUUGCCGGCUCACACACUCCUGCCUGACAAGUUCUCUCUGCCCCUUGUGACAACCAUUCCAGGCUUAUGCUGUUUAUUUUUGGUGUCAGGCUGGCCCUGGCAGAUUGAAAGGCAACCUCAACCCCUUGAACAACAAGCACCACACCCCACUUGGCGAUAAGAGAUGAUUUGAGAAGAUAUUUGCUUACAUGUGUAUAAGCAAUUUGCUGUAUGAUGAAGCCCCGGUGUGCCUGUGUGAACGCACACGUAUGUGUGCAAAGGGGAAGGAACUGCAGAAGCGUAACAUUUCAUGAGAAAACAAACAAUUCAUUGCGGAUCCCAGGUAGCAGGCUUCAAUCAUCACAUCCCAUCGUACACACAGAACGUGAAACGUGGGCCACAAAGGCACCACGGGUACUCCCCACAAAGAGAAACGACAGCUAAGCUCGGUCUGUCCCUGCAAAACAGCCUCGCUGUGUCCCUGCAGAGCGCUGCGAGAUGCAGCGGCAGAGGCACCCCAUAGGAGGAAUGGGGACAAAACACGACAGUUCACUGCAGAAACACGCUAGGGCCAGAUUCAUCUCUGCUGUCAUGGAGUCCAUUUGGAACAGCACUGUUGUCAUUGAAUUACUUGGGACUGCCUGCAAUUGGAAUCACAGAACCUUGUCUUCAAGUAGCAGGCUGCGUGCAUCAUGGAGACUUCCUUUUAACUAUCCAAUUUUUACAGCCUGUACAUAAGCAGGACUAUGUCUACAGCUAGGGUUUCUUGGUGUAAGCACAAUUAAAGCUGAUAGUAAUUACAAAAGUAUGUAUUACAUUUGUUUUUAACGCUAAACUUAAGAAUACGGCAGUAUUUGUUUUAUGUUUACUUGGCUGGUUGAGGUGGUGGUGGUAGAGCAGGGCUUCUCUCCACUCCGAGUCAGGGAUAGCGUCCCACCCUCCCACCUCACCAGGCACAGAACAAGCUGCUCCUGGACCAACUGUUCCAUUGCUACCUGUCAGGAGGAAAGCUGCAGGGAAUCGGACAUGAUGUCCGGGUAGCAGCAGCACGAAGGAGAAAUGAAGGAGCAGGUUGGCAGAUCAACACAGAUUUCAUAUUUACUAUCCAGCCCAGUUAUUGUAGGCUGUGCCUACAGCUGUGCACUUGAUUUAGUUUACAGGCACUGCUUCAGCCCUGGUAAGAGGUGGGAGUGUGCUUCACCGCGGCGUUUACACAGAUCACAACGUAAACAAAACUUGACCCAACACCUUUUAUGUUAUCUCAGAGAAAGAAUCAUAAACUGAGCAAAAUCCACACCAUUAACUCCAGUGCAGUCUUUGAUCAAAUCGGGAGCUAAAAGGAAAACAGAUUUCCUUAAAAACAAACUAACAAAGCAGUAUGUGCAUUUCAUUUUUAAUCCAUUUUCUAGCAACCACACCAUAGAAAGGCAGAGGCUCACAACAGCAAUGCAUCUGAACACAAAAUAUGGCCAUCCCAAGGCACACUAAUGGCAUCCACAGCGCUGGUAAGAGGGAGCACGGAUGUUUUUACAACUGUAGGAUGGGGAAAAUUACUGUUGAUUAUGGAGCAGCAAUGAAAUGCCACAGUUGUGAGUGAUAAACACAGCAAAUGCUACAGGGGGUCCUUCUGGAAAAGGAAAAAAGGGGAACGUUUCGUCAUGCAGAAAAAUAUCCCAGGAAAAAAGGAUGGAGGUGACGCCUGCGUGGCUGUUACCAACCACGGGCUUCAUUCUGCCCCCAGCUGCACACGUGCAACCCAUCACCAGGUAAGAUUUCUCAGUUUCUAUAGCGAAUGCAGGUGUACACCUAAGGGCAGAUUGUAACUUCCUCUCUCAAACAAAACACAGCGAAUGGAGACGGGCUCCCAUUGCAGCAGAACACUGCACAGCCACUUUGCCCUACAGGAAACACCGUAUGCAUGUCAGCCAGCAGAACCUUCUUACUUCUUCUCGUUAGUACUGUGCAUACGCAACCAGAUGCAAAUAUAUACACUUGCAUGCAUUGCUACUGCCACAUAACCCAGCCUGGGAUAUCCCAUUCCCAAACACCUGAGUACCUACACAGCUCUUCAUGGGUGCAAAGCCUCCAGGACUGCAGCAAUGAAACAGCGGAACAGAACUCACAUUGCCUGCGAGGCCCAUCUAUUCAUCUCUGCCCACAAGACUCCCUCGCACCACUGCAUGCUUUUUAUACUUCAUUAAAGCAAAUCACUGAUGUUCUUCAGCUGACAAACAUCCCCGGAAAGGAUGCAAAGAGCGGCAAGAAUUCGGCUUUGGCAAGCAGAUCUAUUUUCAUCUUACAUUUACAGUUGCUUGUGCAUAUCUAUAUAUCCAUCUGCAUCCCUAUCUUCAUAAAAACCUAACUGCAACAAAAUAAAUGAUAAUAAUUCUGCUGUUUCUGUUUCCGCUCUUCCCCAUCAGAAAGCUGGUAAUAAAACAAGCUCUCUAAAACAGGCAUUACCAACCCAGGCCAUGCAAACAAACACUUCACUGUUUUAUAAUCUCACAUGUCGAAUGAACAUCAUCGUUCCCUUUGGUGCCUUAAAAUAUCGGGUCCAUAAAAUUACUAAAAGGCAGAGCAGCAAUGCUGCCUAACACGCAGCCCACGGGAAGGCUGACAGUGCCCCAUCAGCUUCGCUUGUUGGCAGCUCUGAAUGUGCGUAGCACUGUUGGUUGGGCAAAGCGCUCACAGAGCACUGCGUGAACACAGCCGGGCCGUGGGAGCAGCACACCACGAGGUGACCCCGAGCCCUGGGGAUGCGGAUGGUGCAGUGUCCCUUUGGCCUUCUGCAGGCGGAAGAUGCCAGCACUUAUCCUAGCUGUGCAGCACAGAGGGCUCAAGGAGAAAUACCGUGGGACACCAGAUAUGGGCAUUAGAGCGCAAUCCCUUACAGAGCGUGGUCAGUCCACUGCUGUAGUUGGUUUUAAACAGCACUGUGCACUGCGUGAUGGAUGUUGACAAAAAAAAACAACCCCAUAAUUACAAACAAACAAAAAAAAAGACCCAAACCCUGAACCGACGUCACUGGUGAAAGACGCAGAAAUGAAAACACAGCACAGAGCAGCUGAGGGCAGGGGCGCCCUGUCCUGCGGGAGCAGCAGCGGAGCGGAGCAGCACCACAACCGCCCGGCAGCG
rnacentral:lncRNA from 1 species